rnacentral:rRNA from 1 species
GAUGAACGCUAGCUACAGGCUUAACACAUGCAAGUCGAGGGGCAGCACAAGGCAGCAAUGCUGAGGUGGCGACCGGCGCACGGGUGCGUAACGCGUAUCCAACCUUCCCGUUACUCUUGGAUAGCCUUCCGAAAGGGAGAUUAAUACAAGAUGGUGUUGAAAUUCCGCAUGUCAUUUCAACUAAAGAUUUAUCGGUAACGGAUGGGGAUGCGUGACAUUAGAUAGAUGGCGGGGUAACGGCCCACCAUGUCCACGAUGUCUAGGGGUUCUGAGAGGAAGGUCCCCCACACUGGAACUGAGACACGGUCCAGACUCCUACGGGAGGCAGCAGUGGGGAAUAUUGGGCAAUGGGCGAAAGCCUGACCCAGCGACGCCGCGUGAAGGAAGAAGGCCUUCGGGUUGUAAACUUCUGUUGUAAGGGACGAAACAAAUGACGGUACCUUACGAGGAAGCCACGGCUAACUACGUG